rnacentral:rRNA from 1 species
GAUAGUGAACCAGUACCGUGAGGGAAAGGCGAAAAGAACCCCGGCGAGGGGAGUGAAAAAGAACCUGAAACCGUGUACGUACAAGCAGUGGGAGCCCCACCACCAAAGCAUUCUCUGGUGUUGAAGGCCCUGCAAAGCAGCAUCGCGGUGGCGGAGCGUCGUUUGCGACGCCCAACACACAAAACAAGCGGUGAGUGCUUUGGGGUGGGGUGACUGCGUACCUUUUGUAUAAUGGGUCAGCGACUUAUAUUCUGUAGCAAGGUUAACCGAAUAGGGGAGCCGUAGGGAAACCGAGUCUUAACCGGGCGUUAAGUUGCAGGGUAUAGACCCGAAACCCGGUGAUCUAGCCAUGGGCAGGUUGAAGGUUGGGUAACACUAACUGGAGGACCGAACCGACUAAUGUUGAAAAAUUAGCGGAUGACCUGUGGCUGGGGGUGAAAGGCCAAUCAAACCGGGAGAUAGCUGGUUCUCCCCGAAAGCUAUUUAGGUAGCGCCUCGUGAAUUCAUCUCCGGGGGUAGAGCACUGUUUCGGCUAGGGGGCCAUCCCGGCUUACCAACCCGAUGCAAACUGCGAAUACCGGAGAAUGUUAUCACGGGAGACACACGGCGGGUGCUAACGUCCGUCGUGAAGAGGGAAACAACCCAGACCGCCAGCUAAGGUCCCAAAGUCAUGGUUAAGUGGGAAACGAUGUGGGAAGGCCCAGACAGCCAGGAUGUUGGCUUAGAAGCAGCCAUCAUUUAAAGAAAGCGUAAUAGCUCACUGGUCGAGUCGGCCUGCGCGGAAGAUGUAACGGGGCUAAACCAUG